CAAGAAAAAUCGGGAAACCCCUAGCGACGGACGAAUGAGUCACACGUGGAUAGGCUCCCCAUAGGACUGGGAUAACUUCGGGAAACCGGAGUUAAUACCGGAUAAUAUAUUGAACCGCAUGAUUCAAUAGUGAAAGACGGUUUUGCUGUCACUUAUAGAUGGAUUCGCGCCGCAUUAGCUAGUUGGUAAGGUAACGGCUUACCAAGGCAACGAUGCGUAGCCGACCUGAGAGGGUGAUCGGCCACACUGGAACUGAGACACGGUCCAGACUCCUACGGGAGGCAGCAGUAGGGAAUCUUCCGCAAUGGGCGAAAGCCUGACGGAGCAACGCCGCGUGAGUGAUGAAGGUCUUCGGAUCGUAAAACUCUGUUAUUAGGGAAGAACAAAUGUGUAAGUAACUAUGCACGUCUUGACGGUACCUAAUCAGAAAGCCACGGCUAACUACGUGCCAGCAGCCGCGGUAAUACGUAGGUGGCAAGCGUUAUCCGGAAUUAUUGGGCGUAAAGCGCGCGUAGGCGGUUUUUUAAGUCUGAUGUGAAAGCCCACGGCUCAACCGUGGAGGGUCAUUGGAAACUGGAAAACUUGAGUGCAGAAGAGGAAAGUGGAAUUCCAUGUGUAGCGGUGAAAUGCGCAGAGAUAUGGAGGAACACCAGUGGCGAAGGCGACUUUCUGGUCUGUAACUGACGCUGAUGUGCGAAAGCGUGGGGAUCAAACAGGAUUAGAUACCCUGGUAGUCCACGCCGUAAACGAUGAGUGCUAAGUGUUAGGGGGUUUCCGCCCCUUAGUGCUGCAGCUAACGCAUUAAGCAUUCCGCCUGGGAUCCCCCCGGGGAUCACUA
rnacentral:rRNA from 1 species